UACGGAGGGAGCUAGCGUUGUUCGGAAUUACUGGGCGUAAAGCGCACGUAGGCGGCUUUGUAAGUUAGAGGUGAAAAGCCCGGGGCUCAACCCCGGAAUUGCCUUUAAGACUGCAUCGCUUGAAUCCAGGAGAGGUGAGUGGAAUUCCGAGUGUAGAGGUGAAAUUCGUAGAUAUUCGGAAGAACACCAGUGGCGAAGGCGACUUACUGGACACAUAUUGACGCUGAGGUGCGAAAGCGUGGGGAGCAAACAGGG
rnacentral:rRNA from 1 species